AUGGACCAAUAUUCUUAUCAUCAUCUUUAUCUUAUGUUUGUCUGCUCUCCUUUCCUCUCUUCUCCUCCUCUCCUCUGGUUCUCUUCUCUCAUCUCCUGUACAUUCAUUUCCUCUCCUCUCCUCUCCUUUCCUCUCCUCUGGUCCAUUACCGCCUUCUCUCCUCUCCUCUGGUCCUCUCCUCUCCUCUCCUCUCACCACUUCCAUCUUCUCUCCUCUCCUCUGGUCCAUAAAGGUCCCGAGGAAGAGGAGGGCUCGGAGGAGGGGGCAGCUCCUCUUCUUCGACCCGGAAACCCAGCUGAGCCAGGAGGAGCUGCAGCGGUGCAUCGAAGACCCCAUGACGGAGACGGAAAUCAUCCCACUGGCCCCGGACCCCACUCACAGGAGGCUGUCUGCGGCCUACCUGCUGACAGAGCCCUGCAACGUCUUGCCGGAGGCGAUACUGCGGCUAUGGCGACAGGCUGCGACCCUCACCCCGUUGGGCCCGGACCUGCAGGCGGGCCCGAGGGGGGCAGGGUCCACCGACUCGGAGAUAGGCCAAGAGGCCCAGAGAGAGCAGGACACGCAGGACAUACAGGAGAUGCAGUCCAUGGAGGUGGGCUGUGUAUGGGGUUUCUGGUGGUGGAGAUGAGGAAUGUGGUGGUGGUGCCGAUGAAGCAGAAUGUGGUGGUGGUGGAGAUGAGGAAUGUGGUGGUGGUGGUGGAGAUGAAGCAGAAUGUGGUGGUGGUGGUGGAGAUGAAGCAGACUGUGGUGGUGGUGGAGAUGAGGAAUGUGGUGGUGGUGGUGGAGAUGAAGCAGAAUGUGGUGGUGGUGGUGGAGAUGAAGCAGAAUGUGGUGGUGGUGGUGCAGAUUAGGCAGAAUGUGGUGGUGGUGGUGGUGGUGGUGGUGGUGUUGUUGGAGAUGAGGCAGAAUGUGGUGGUGGUGGUGGUGGUGGUGGGGUUGGAGAUGAGGCAGACUGUGGUGGUGGUGGUGGUGAGGGUGAUGGUGUUGGGGAUGAGGCAGAAUGUGGUGGUGGUGGUGGUGGUGGUGUUGAUGGUGUUGGGGAUGAGGCAGACUGUGGUGGUGGUGGUGGUGGUGUUGAUGGUGUUGGGGAUGAGGCAGAAUGUGGUCGUGGUAGUGGUGUUGGGUCAUUUGUCGAAGGCUUGUUCCCUACAAAGUUUGAUGUUAACCACGUGUCCGAUCUGUUUAUUUGUGUGCCUGUCUGUCUCACUAUCAAGAAAUUGAGAGCAACGGCACACUCCCCCACGUCAUUAUCUGAUAUGUCCGGUAAGAAUAUAAAGACAUUGGAUUAACACACAACACGCGAUGGCUGCCUAGUAACAACCAAUGUACAUAACAAAUACACUUAUAUGCGUAUAUAGACUGAUGAGGUGUUUGUGUGUGUGUGUGUGUGUGUGUGUGUGUGUGUGUGUGUGUGUGUGUGUGUGUGUGUGUGUGUGUGUGUGUGUGUGUGUGUGUGUGUGUGUGUGUGUGUGUGUCCUCCAGGCCAGUCCAUACACCCUCUAGAGACCUCAGACAAGGCACUGAGCAGAGAGGCAUCACCCCAUGUAACACCUGAGAUGAAAGGGUGAGUGACAGAGAGGAGAGUUAUAUGUUUUCACACACACACACACACACACACACACACACACACACACACACACACACACACACACACACACACACACACACACACACACACACACACACACACACACUCCAUAUAAUAUGGUCUCUAAAAUGCCUAAUGCUUUAGAGUGUGUGUGUGUGUGUGUGUGUGUGUGUGUGUGUGUGUGUGUGUGUGUGUGUGUGUGUGUGUGUGUGUGUGUGCAGACUGGCGGGCAUCCCAGAGGAAGUCGACAUGGAGGUUGGUGAUCCGAGCUUCUCUGUGGAUCUCCCAGGGUAAAGAACCUUCCUUCAAUGCUGCUCAUAACUCCCGGUGAAGCUUACUGGAGCUUGUUAUACAGUAUAUAUACAUAUUUAUAAAAACACAUUAUCAGCUCCAGCAUCCUCUGUUUCCUUCAACUGGACUGGUUGAAACGAUUAUAUAAAUCGUGCCAAAAUGUAAGACGACCAUCAGUAAGUUGACCGUGGUUUGUGCCCGUCCAUGUAGACUAUUGGACGAUGAUGAAGAGUCGUCGCUGCUCUUCCACACGCUGAUCCCUCCCCUGGCCGACCGCAAGGCCGUGAGCUACUUCUUCUGGAGCCUGCUGGGUAAGAGGGCAAUAGAGGGCACUGCUCAGCCAAUCACCUCCCACCUCCCACCUUCAGCACUCAAUCAAUCUGCACCUCUUCCAGCCGUUCAGGGGUUGAUUGGUUGGUAUGUGCAAUCUAUAUAUAUAUAUAUACACAUGUAUGUAUAUAUAUAUAUAUUUGUAUACGUAUAUAUGAAUGUACUGAACUGAGGGUACAAGCCACACAGUAACAUUGUUUCAUGUUAAUCAAAACAUAUUUUUUGUGUGUGUGUGUGUGCCUCUUUAUGUCUGCAGAGAAUGUAGCAGCCAAGAAACUGAGUGUGGAACAAGAUGAGCCCUACAGCGGCAUCACAAUAUCACGUGGACCCAACUAUGAGGCGCCAUUUUACUUUUAGAAAACUGACCAUCCAGACACAAACACUGCAUAGCACGUACACCGGUUAGAUAGUGGACUGUGUGGUACGCCAUAGAUUGUGUUUAAUUGUUGUAUUGCAGAAGUUUAGGAUCGAUCUCUGAUCCAUUUUAUACCUAUUUUAAUCAUAAGCAAUACACAAAGUAAAAAGUUUAAAAAAUAUAUAUAUAUAUACAAUAUAAUUUUAAUGGGAAGCACGUUUUCACUUGUUCUAUGAAAUAUUUGUUUAUUUGUAAAUGAAUGUAUUUGUUAUUUAAUUUUAGCAUUCUAAAAUAUAUAUUUAAUAACGGUUUUACUCUUAUGACAUUUGUAAUUUUAAAAGGAUAUUUGUUACAUUUGAUUGUUAUUUAAUCAUACAAUUUUAAUAUAUAUUUAAAAUGUUUCUAAUGAAUGCUUGCUGUUAUUUAAAAUGAUUUAAAAUUUAAAAUUGAAAGUGAAUUUAUAAAUGAGUUAUUGAUGUUAUUUUAAAGCAUAUUUAUGUUCAAUUUCUUCUUGUCCUGACAAACGGUUCCAGUGAAGCUGUAUGAAUGCAGGCUCUUUAAUAAACAUCUUUGGUUCCUG
rnacentral:lncRNA from 1 species